GUGUGAUUCAUGACUGGGGUGAAGUCGUAACAAGGUAGCCGUAGGGGAACCUGCGGCUGGAUCACCUCCUUAAUCGACGA
rnacentral:rRNA from 2 species